GGAUAUUAGGAACCAGCUUCCACAUGAGCUGUGUCCUGGGAUUGACCAGGGAGAUGAAGGGUGUCAAGACUAUAAGAAAGGAGAGUCUGUGGUGUCCACACUUGGAGUUUGGAAGCUCAUGUUAUCUCUCCUGUGCCCUAUCAGCAUCAUGGUGGUGGCAGCUCCGACUCUGCCUGCUCCUGCAUGACAUUUGCCAAAUCAUGCUGAAGAAGGAUAGGAAAUACCAGAAGGGGACAACAUGGCGGAGAAAUUUGAUGUUGUGUCCCCAUUUGCAAGUGUCCAUUAGGGUCCUCUGGAAGCGGACUGAAAUGAAUCCUUAUGCCUCUCUGGAGAGGCAGCUGUUCUCCCAGACCCGGCAGGAAGCUCACGUGGACACAUGAAUUUUGUAGUGCAGACAUAGAAAACAGGGAAUGAAAAAAGAAAAGAGAAAAGGGGAGAGAUCUGAAGCCAGAGUGGGCGUUGCGCCCUAGAACUGCCGACAGUUGCAGCCUAGAUAUGACGUGCAGCAGAGACGUCCCAGAUCUCCCAAGCAGAGUUCCGGCCCACUUUGAAGUGUUGACAAUAUGGAAAAUUAAAAGCAUCACAAUGAGAAUUAUCACAUUGUUUUUUCCACUUUGAUAGCCUCUACAAAGCA
rnacentral:lncRNA from 1 species